rnacentral:rRNA from 1 species
GACCCUACGGGGCGCAGCAGUGGGGAAUAUUGCGCAAUGGGGGAAACCCUGACGCAGCAACGCCGCGUGAAUGAAGAAGGCCUUCGGGUUGUAAAGCUCUUUAAUCAGGGACGAAGAAUGACGGUACCUGAAGAAUAAGCUCCGGCUAACUACGUGCCAACAGCCGCGGUAAUACGUAGGGAGCAAGCGUUAUCCGGAUUUACUGGGUGUAAAGGGCGUGUAGGCGGGCCUGCAAGUCAGAAGUGAAAUCUGGGGGCUUAACCCCUAAACUGCUUUUGAAACUGUGGGUCUUGAUGGAUGGAGAG